CGCUGGCGGUGUGCUUAACACAUGCAAGUCGAACGAGAAGAGAUGAGAAGCUUGCUUCUUAUUGAUUCGAGUGGCAAACGGGUGAGUAACGCGUAAGCAACCUGCCCCUUCAGAUGGGGGACAACAGCUGGAAAACGGCUGCUAAUACCGAAUACGUUCUUUUUGUCGCAUGGCAGAGGGAAGAAAGGGAGGCUCUUCGGAGCCUUCGCUGAAGAGGGGUUUGCGUCUGAUUAGGUAGUUGGUGAGGUAACGGCCCACCAAGCCGACGAUCAGUAGCCGGACUGAGAGGUUGACCGGCCACAUUGGGACUGAGAUACGGCCCAGACUCCUACGGGGAGGCAGCAGGUGGGGAAUAUUGGGCAAUGGACGCAAGUCUCGACCCAGCAACGCCGCGUGAAGAAAGAAGGCUUUCGGGUUGUAAACUUCUUUUGUCAGGGAAGAGCAGAAGACGGUACCUGACGAAUAAGCCACGGCUAACUACGUG
rnacentral:rRNA from 1 species